UUUCCGUAGGUGAACCUGCGGAAGGAUCAUUAUUGUAUAACCGAGGUGCGAGGGUUGUCGCUGACCCGAAAGGUCGUGCACGCCCGAGUGCCCUCACACACAUCCAUCUCACCCCUAUGUGCACCACCGCGUGGGUCCCCCUUUGGCUUGUUCGGAGGGGGGCUUACGUUUUCACACAAACUUUGUAUGCAGUGUAGAAUGUAUUUUUUGUUUUUGCGAUCACGCAAUCAAUACAACUUUCAACAACGGAUCUCUUGGCUCUC
rnacentral:misc_RNA from 1 species